rnacentral:rRNA from 1 species
UACGUAGGGGGCGAGCGUUGUCCGGAUUUAUUGGGCGUAAAGAGCGUGUAGGCGGCCAGGUAGGUCUGCUGUGAAAACUCGAGGCUCAACCUCGAGACGUCGGCGGAAACCAUCUGGCUAGAGUCCGGAAGAGGAGAGUGGAAUUCCUGGUGUAGCGGUGAAAUGCGCAGAUAUCAGGAAGAACACCCGUGGCGAAGGCGGCUCUCUGGGGACGGUACUGACGCUGAGACGCGAAAAGCGUGGGGGAGCGAACAGGG